AUGGCGGAGCUGGGUAAGUAGUACUGCGUGUACUGCUUGGCCGAGGUGAGCCCGCUGCGCUUCCGCUGCACAGAGUGCCAGGACAUCGAGCUGUGCCCCGAGUGCUUCUCGGCCUGAGCAGAGAUCGGCCACCACCGCCGCUACCACGGCUACCAGCUGGUGGACGGCGGAAGAUUCACACUCUGGGGUCCUGAGGCGGAGGGCGGCUGGACCAGCCGCGAGGAGCAGCUGCUGCUGGACGCCAUCGAGCAGUUCGGCUUUGGCAACUGGGAAGACAUGGCUGCACAUGUUGGUGCUUCACGGACUCCCCAGGAAGUGAUGGAGCACUACGUUAGCAUGUAUAUCCAUGGGAACUUGGGCAAAGCCUGCAUCCCUGACACCAUCCCCAACCGGGUGACAGAUCAUACCUGCCCCAGUGGAGGCCCUCUCUCGCCUAGCCUUACCACACCUUUACCCCCAUUGGACAUCUCUGUGGCUGAGCAGCAGCAGCUGGGCUACAUGCCACUGCGAGAUGAUUAUGAGAUAGAGUAUGACCAGGAUGCUGAGACGCUCAUCAGUGGGCUGUCUGUGAACUAUGAUGAUGAUGAUGUGGAGAUAGAGCUCAAGCGUGCCCAUGUAGACAUGUAUGUGCGGAAGUUGAAGGAGAGGCAGCGCCGGAAGAACAUUGCCAGAGACUAUAACCUGGUACCAGCCUUCCUGGGCAAGGACAAGAAGGAGAAGAAGACAUUGAAGAGAAAGAUCACCAAGGAGGAGAAAGAGCUGCGGCUGAAACUACGGUCACUCUACCAGUUCAUGUUCUGCAAAGAAUUUGAUGAUUUAUUUGAAAACAUGCACAAAGAAAAGAUGCUUCGUGCCAAGAUUCGAGAGCUGCAGCGCUACCGACGCAAUGGCAUUACAAAGAUGGAGGAGUCGGCCGAAUAUGAGGCCGCCAGACACAAACGGGAGAGGAGGAAGGAGAACAAAAACCUGGCCAGCUCCAAAAGGGGGAAGGAGGAUGGCAAAGACAGUGAGUUUGCAGCCAUUGAGAACCUUCCUGGGUUUGAGCUGCUGUCAGAUAGGGAGAAGGUUCUCUGUAGUUCAUUGAACUUGAGUCCUGCACGCUAUGUGACUGUGAAGACUAUUAUAAUUAAAGAUCACCUCCAGAAGCGGCAAGGGAUCCCCUCUAAAAGUCGCCUUCCCAGUUAUCUGGACAAGGUCCUAAAGAAAAGGAUUUUAAAUUUCCUCACAGAAAGUGGGUGGAUAUCCAGGGAUAUCUCAAACAUUAAUGUCUUGUUCAACCACUAUCAGAAAAGGAACAAAUACAAGGACCCUAAGCCAUACAUUACACAGAGAGUGAGAGACAUUGGAACACUUAGCCCUAAGUGGGAUGUCUCCAUCAAUUCCCUCCACUCAGAGCUCAUGUAA